UUCAUAUAUAUAUGUACAAAUUUAAACAAUUUUUUUAUCUAUAAGAUAUAAGAAUAAAAAUUAUAAAAUUAUAAUUGGAGCAAACCAAAGCAAGGAUUAGCCUCCUCUGGGAUAUCUUCGUUUUCAGAUUCGUUGUGUAUUUACUGCAAGAUCUCUGUCUAUAGAUGAUCAGUCAAAGGUUUGAAGAGUACCUUUGUAAAUUGAGGAUGUCCCUCUUAAAAUGGAGGGUCACUUGAGAUUAAACUCCUUCAUACUUUUUAGUAAAAAAAGUAAGCCUGACUUGCGCUUAAUUUUUAAGAAAAGGUUAGAAAAAUUAUUGCUAUUGCCCAUCAAACCAUAUAGCAAAAUCUGCCAAAAAUUAAAUAAAAAUCCACAAAAAUCAUUUCUAAAAGAAUGAAUUAAGAAACUAGGAUUAAAACAAUUGAAAGGUGAAGACUCUCCACAAAAUUUUUCUUAUUCCUACACCAGUGCAGCAACAGUGCGAAAACCUUCAAAGUAUUUAUACUUUGACUAUUCCUUUCAGCAGAAUUUUCAGCAGAAAGACACAUACAUAAAGUUUAUAUUUAGCAGUAGCAGCAUAUCCACACAUAUCACAGGGAUAGCGAACCCCUUCAUGGAUGCUCUUCUUGUGACUCUUCAAGAUCUGUAAAGUUGUCGCCUGGUAGCUGCAUUCAUUACAGGGAUGCCGGAUACCAUCGUGGUUCGACUGAAACAAACAAUCAUCUGUUUUUGUAUUUGUAUAUCGUGUGUUUAUUCUAAAUAUAAAAACGAUUACA